GGUCCGGUAGCUCAGCUGGUAGAGCAGUAGCCUUUUAAGCUAACGGUCGCGGGUUCGAGCCCCGCCCGGAUCACAA
rnacentral:tRNA from 3 species